UUCGCAAUGCCCGAAAGGGUGACGAAGCGACGCCGCGUGCGGGAAGAAGGCCUUCGGGUUGUAAACCGCUGUCGGGAGUUAGGAAGUGCAAGGAUGUUAAUAGCGUUCUUGCUUGACUAAGGCUCCGGAGGAAGCCACGGCUAACUCUGUGCCAGCAGCCGCGGUAAUACAGAGGCGGCAAGCGUUGUUCGGAAUUAUUGGGCGUAAAGAGCACGUAGGCGGCUAUGUAAGUCGGUUGUGAAAGCCUUCCGCUCAACGGAAGAACAGCAUCCGAUACUACAUGGCUUGAGUGCGGGAGGGGAGAGUGGAACUUCUGGUGGAGCGGUGAAAUGCGUAGAUAUCAGAAGGAACGCUGGCGGCGAAAGCGGCUCUCUGGCCCAUAACUGACGCUGAGUGUGCGAAAGCUAGGGGAGCAAACGGGAUUAGAUACCCCGGUAGUCCUAGCCGUAAACGAUGGGCACUAAGUAGAGGGGUUUU
rnacentral:rRNA from 1 species